CUGACUCAUUUGAAAAGACCCUGAUGCUGGGAAAGAUUGAAGUAUUUCCGCCUGCUCAAAAUUCUUUCCCCACUGUUACAAACAUCAACAGAUCCAACCAGAUUUCACUAUUAAGGAAUAUGGGCAAGUACCAAGGCAUAGGACAAGCAGAAAGGAAAAUCAGAUUUACAGAUGAGCACUAAGAUCUACUACAGGCAUGGAAAGUUAUUGAAUAACGAUCCCAAACCAAACACAAAGGCAGAUUUGCUGCCUGGAAAUCAUCAGGACUGAAGUGUGUUAAAACCCUAUACGUCCCUUAUAUGAUUAUAAUGUGCAACCAGGAUUAAGAAGCACUGCUCUAUGAAGAGGGAUUGACACUUAAUAUAUUUCCUGUUCAAGUGCCGAUUACUGGCUUAUGAAUAGAGUCAGUGUAUCCCAUCAGAAGGUACAAGUGAGCAGAACUCUGAAGGGUGAAGAUGAAAGACGGGAAACAGGAUCUAAUAAUAAGGAUGAGAGAAGCAACAGUAAGAAUAAGUUGUUUGUUCCUUGGAUGCUAACUAUAUUUGAAGAGAAGCAUCAAAAAAUUGGUGUGUAGGUGGAGAGAAGCAUUACAUUGGCUGAGUUUGGAAUAAGAUGUAAAUAAAACAAAAAAAUGAAACAAUAAAGCAUAUCUACUACUUAUCUAUUAUUCAUUACAUACUUUGAAUAUGACAUGUAUAAUUAAAAGUAUCAUGUUAAUUUUAAAUUUAACUGUCAAAAAAAUCUAGAUAGGCAUCAUGCAUGCCACAGAAAAUUUGUCAAAAUAACAAUUUCAGGCUUCCAUUAAAAAUUCAUUAAGUGCAUUCAGAAGAAAUGUUUUCCCAGUUUUUCCCAUCAGAAGAUUACCUACCAAACUUAUUUAGGCCCCACAAGAGGGGGGAUUGGAAUAUCUUCACAAGAGGGGAUUGGAAAUGUAUAUUUCUAACAAAUAUUUUGAAUUAUUGCAGUGAAUGGACUAGCUGGGAAAUGUGUUGUUCAGGCACUAAGUCAGAGUAAUUGCCUAACUCCGUGAUGCAGACACCACAUUAAUUAUAUAUGCCGCACGUGUCACCAUCACAGCACAGAAGCCAGCUUUAAACUCAACUCAAGGAAAAGUAAACAACAGUUUUCCUUGAAAUACCUAAGUGAUGCACAAACACGAUGGGACUAAUACAGUGCAUAAGAGCUUAUAAUGAAAAACAGCAGUCUUUUACCUGGUCCCAAGGCACCCACCACUCAUCUCAGCCUCAAUCUCUAGUGGUGACCAUAAUUUCAUUCUAAUAACUCAAUUACAAAACUUAAUAAACUAUAAGCCAUGCUAUAUUGUGAUUGUAUCAAUACCCUUUACUGAAAAGCCAAAUAAUAAACAAUGAUGUCAUUUUGU